rnacentral:rRNA from 1 species
CCUACGGGGGGUAGCAGUGAGGAAUAUUGGUCAAUGGACGAGAGUCUGAACCAGCCAAGUAGCGUGAAGGAUGACUGCCCUAUGGGUUGUAAACUUCUUUUAUAUGGGAAUAAAAUGUUCCACGUGUGGGAUUUUGUAUGUACCCUAUGAAUAAGGAUCGGCUAACUCCGUGCCAGCAGCCGCGGUAAUACGGAGGAUCCGAGCGUUAUCCGGAUUUAUUGGGUUUAAAGGGAGCGUAGGUGGAUUGUUAAGUCAGUUGUGAAAGUUUGCGGCUCAACCGUAAAAUUGCAGUUGAAACUGGCAGUCGUGAGUACAGUAGAGGUGGGCGGAAUUCGUGGUGUAGCGGUGAAAUGCUUAGAUAUCACGAAGAACUCCGAUUGCGAAGGCAGCUCACUGGACUGCAACUGACACUGAGGCUCGAAAGUGUGGGUAUCAAACAGGAUUAGAUACCCCGGUAGUC